rnacentral:rRNA from 1 species
AUACGGGGGGUGCAAGCGUUAUUCGGAUUUAUUGGGCGUAAAGGGCGCGUAGGCGGCUUGGUAAGUCAGAUGUGAAAGCCCGGGGCUCAACCCCGGAAGUGCAUUUGAAACUAUCAGGCUUGAGUAUGGGAGAGGGAAGUGGAAUUCCUGGUGUAGAGGUGAAAUUCGUAGAUAUCAGGAGGAACACCGGUGGCGAAGGCGACUUCCUGGACCAAUACUGACGCUGAGGCGCGAAGGCGUGGGGAGCAAACAGGAUUAGAUACCCCGGUAGUCC